UCGGGUCCACUCUGGGGGCGCCCAGUGCUACAACCGGAAACGCGGCUGGAGGCCAGUGGAUGCUUGAUGGAGCAGUUCGCGCCGUGGUGCGCGCGCGCCAGGGCUUAGGCUCCAAGUAAAGGCCUUCUUCAUCCAUCCACCCACAACCAGGGGGCCUCAUAAGACCUGUUGAGGGGCCCUGCAACACUGUAUACAGAAUCGCCUAUUUAAGAUGGCAAAGUACCCGUGGAGACACUGAUGAAAACUAUGGACUUUCUCCAGAAAAAUACACCCAAAAUACAAUUUUGAGACCAGCAUCCAGGCUCUGAAGACCUGUGACAGCCAUCCAUGGAGUCAUGUUAAGAACCUCCACUCCAACUAACCCAAAGCUCACAGCCCUGGAGGAGAAGAAGCCUGUUUGGGGAAUUCUACCUUGGCUCCAUGUCUCUGAAGAGGCUUGUCCCAGGGAAUAUAAUGGGAUCCUCGCUCACACACAACCCAACAGCCGACCCACAAUGGCACACCUCCCAGUUAUUGCCUUAGUCCGGCAAACCCCUGGCUAAGCAUCCACAGCCGAGCUGAGGGCAGUGAGAAAAGUUCAAGUCGCCAGCUGAAGUGGUCUUUAACACCCCCCCCCCGGCCUUCUCAGCCUCACUGUUUAUCCAUAUGAAGCGCUCUCCUUCCCGGCCCACUUCCACCCCCACCUUUCUGAGAUCGGCUAUAAAAAUAAACUAUUUUUCCUUGUUAA
rnacentral:lncRNA from 1 species